AGUUUGAUAAACCAAUCAAAUGUACUCCAAUUUUUGAAAUUUUCAUUCAAAUUUGAGAGAUGCUUUUACCCGGUUAACAAAACCAUAUAUUUACGUUAUCUUCUCUCUUCUGUUUUUUUCUUCCUCCCUCUCAUUUCCAUUCAAACCCUAGCGCCGCAUCCCUCUCUGGCUUCGACCACUCAAAUGAAAAAACAAAAUCUCUAUAUGUUUGCUUCAUCUCACAACCUUUCAAAAGAACCAGUUGAAAUUUUGUUUCGAUAGAUCUCGCCGUCGACCACCGUUUCUUCUUCUCCGAUAGUCACUAUUUGAAAUAGUGAAAGAUUGAAACUAGGUUCAUUGUUCUGGUGUUUUCGUAACGAUUGAAAAUCUCUUUAGAUUUUCUCAAAUUUUUUGGUUUUAGGGUGAAACCGAUGAAGAUUUUGGGCAAAUUGUCAAUUUUAUAAAAAGAAUACAACUAUACAAUUGCAGGCAUUAUUCUAAUAAAUUAUGGAAAAGCUCAAUAUCCAGCGACAAAACCUUUUUUCUAUCUCUUCUUGAAGCAGAUGUUGAGCCUGAGUCUGCAAUAGGAGCAUCAUGGAGGAGAGAAGUUGACGAAACCUAUGUUAGUAACAAAUUGCAGAACCUGAUGAUUUAGGACAUUUUAGGAUCACUUCCAUUUGAAGACUUGGAACAAAUACCGAUUUUUGCACUUGUAAAUAUAAAGGGACUAAUUUGAAAAGAUUAGUGUACUCUGUUUCAGGGAAGCUAUGGAUCAUUUCUAGCAACACCAAUUAGCAUUCCUAUACAGAGUAAUGCUUUGAAAGUGAGAUACGUAGCACUGACUGGAAGAAAACUACUCUCCCAAGAACAUGUAACACAUCACAGUGCAUUAGGUCAAUAGUUGGGAUCGCUCAUGGCAUCUAUCUAUACCGGAAGCCGAAUACCUCAAAUAUGGUUAAAUGGGUUAAAUCCUUUCAUGUUCCUCUUUGCACUGAUUGCCAAUGCUGCUUAUGUGGGAAGUAUUCUUGUAAGAACUACAGAAUGGGAAAGCAUCAAAGCAAAUAUGCCAUGAUUAUUGGACGCAAUUGUUUGCGUCGCAUUAGACCUAUUUGUAUUCUUUAUACAUGCAGAUUUUGAAGAAUCUCAUAGAAGAAUUUCUGGAGGUCUCAAUUUAUUAAGAACCUUGAAUCUACAGACAACUGUAUCGUUUUUUAGAGCAAUACAUAUUUUUUCUUGGAAGUAGAAGUCUGAAUUUCUUGAUAUUUUUUCUC